rnacentral:rRNA from 1 species
CCAAUAGCGUAUAUUAAAGUUGCUGCAGUUAAAAAGCUCGUAGUUGAAUUUCGGGACCAAUAUGUCGGUCGUGCCUCGGUACGUACUGGCAUCGUUGGUUUCUCCCUUCUGAAGAACCAUGAUGUCAUUUAUUUGGUGUCGUGGGGAAUCAGGACUGUUACUUUGAAAAAUUUAGAGUGUUUAAAGCAGGCUCGCGCUUGAAUACAUUAGCAUGGAAUAAUGAAAUAGGACGUUUGAUUCUAUUUUGUUGGUUUCUAGGAUCGACGUAAUGAUUAAUAGGGAUAGUUGGGGGCAUAGUAUUCAAUUGUCAGAGGUGAAAUUCUUGGAUUUAUUGAAGACUAACUACUGCGAAAGCAUUUGCCAAGGAUGUUUUCAUUAAUCAAGAACGAAAGUUAGGGGAUCGAAGACGAUCAGAUACCGUCGUAGUCUUAACCAUAAACUAUGCCGACUAGGGAUCGGAUGAUGUUAAUUUUUUAAUGACUCAUUCGGCGCCUUACG